AAUGGGUUCUCGCAUUACCAGGAAGUGAAACGGGGGAACCAAAGUUUGGGGCGAACCAGCGAGAUUUGGGAUUAAAGAUUGGGGAUUAGAGAUUAUUGCAAUCUUGAUUCAAAAUUCUUGAUCGCGGAAUUUGUUGGAGAGCAUCUCUCAGCUCUAGCCCGUCAGCUAACUCCGUCAGCAUUGAGAGAGGACUG
rnacentral:sRNA from 2 species